rnacentral:rRNA from 1 species
UACGUAGGUGGCGAGCGUUGUCCGGAUUUAUUGGGCGUAAAGCGCGCGCAGGCGGUCGCGUAAGUCUGCUGUGAAAUCUCCCUGGCUCAACCGGGAGGGGGCGGCGGAGACUGCGGGACUGGAGGGACCUAGAGGCCGGUGGAAUUCCCGGUGUAGUGGUGGAAUGCGUAGAGAUCGGGAGGAACACCAGUGGCGAAAGCGGCUCUCUGGUCCAAAACUGACGCUGAGGGGCGAAAGCGUGGGGAGCGAACGGG